rnacentral:rRNA from 1 species
GAGACAGCAGCCGCCGCGGUAAUACGGAGGGGGCUAGCGUUGUUCGGAAUUACUGGGCGUAAAGCGCACGUAGGCGGCUUUGUAAGUUAGAGGUGAAAUCCCCGGGCUCAACCUGGGAAUGGCAGUGGAUACUGGCUCGCUAGAGUGUGUCAGAGGAUGGUGGAAUUCCCGGUGUAGCGGUGAAAUGCGUAGAGAUCGGGAGGAACAUCAGUGGCGAAGGCGGCCAUCUGGGACAACACUGACGCUGAGGUACGAAAGCGUGGGGAGCAAACAGGAUUAGAUACCCGCGUAGUCCCUGUCUCUUAUAA